UAAAUAACUGAGUUUCAAUUUAACUACUUUCCAUUAUAAUGUAAUGCUUUUUAUUUAUGCAUUUACAAACAUGAGAAGAGAUACUAGUUUAUUAUUACUGAUAUGAAAAACCUAGUUAUUUAAAAACAACACAUAUUUGUUUAUUUACCUGAAAGGCAGGGAUAGAGGGAUAGAAAGAGAGAGCUGAGAGAAAAAAAAAGAGAUCUUUCAUCUGCUAAUUCACUCCCCUAAAUGCCUACAACAGCUGAGGCUGGGACAGGCUGAAGCCAAGGAGCCAAGAACUCAAUCCAAGACUCAAUUACUUGAGCCAUUACCUGCUGCUUCCCAAAGUCCACAUUAUCAGGAAGCCAGAACUCAAACCCAGGCACUGUGAUAUGGGAUGCAGGAUCACCAAGUGGCGUUUUAACUGCUAUGCCAAACAUCUGCCAAAAAACAAACAAACAAAUAUUAACAUCUUACUGUUCUACAGAUGAGAAAUUGGACACAUUUCUUUCUGGGAUAAAAUUAAGGUGUCAGUUGGACUGUGUUCCUUCUAAAAAUAUUUGGGGACAAUCGAUUUGCUUGCCUUUUCCAGCUCCUAGAGGCUUCCUAUAUUCCUUGGCUUAUAGCCCCUUCCUCCACCUUCAAAGUCAGCAAAAAUGGAUCCAUCCCUUCAUGUAUUACAUCACUCCAACCUUCUCGUCUACCUUUGGGAUUACAUUAGACCUAUUUGGUUAAUCCAGAAUAAUAUCCUUAGUUUAAGGUCAGCUGAUUAGCAACUCAAUUCAUUCUGCAACCUUAAUUCCCCUGUGUUAGGUCACAACAUAGUCACAGGUUCUGGACAUCUGUGGGGGCUUCAUUCUUCCUACCAUAAGGGUUCCAGCCUUCAGGACCCGGCUCGGCAGGCCAUGGUACAAAUAGUCUGAUGCUGCAGCCUAAACCCUGGUCUGACCUCUGUUUGCCUGAUUCUGGCUGUCCUGCAUAAUUGCACUGGCCUCGUUUCAGCUCCCUUUGCAGCCAAACAGGACAGAAUCUCUGUGAAAAGCACGUCCCUGGCCCUCCUUCUCACAUCGGGGCACAGAUUCAAGUCCUAGCUGCCUUGCAUCCAGUCCAGCUCCCUGCUAAUGUGAAUGGGAAAGCAGAAGAUGGCCUAAAUACUUGGGUCCCUGACACCCACAUGGGAGACCCGGGUGUAGUUCCUUGAUCCUGGCUUUGUGCUGGUCCUGUUCUGAUUAUUAUGGUCAUUUGCAAAGUGAACCAGUGGAUGGAUAAUUCUCUCUCUCUCUUUGUGUGUGUGUGAGAGAGAGAGACUCUGGCUUUCAAAUAAAUAAAUAAAUCUCUUUUUAAAAUAGAAAAUAUUAGAACUAAAAUUUAUAUUUUAAAAGAAAAUGUAUUUAUAAAAAUGCUUCAAUUUCUGGAUUGCCUUCAAAUUAUAUUUCAUUGCAGGAUGUCCUGGAGCCCAGACCCUGCUACCCAACUCUAUCCAGAUCCUACCCAAACCCAUUGGGGGCAGCCCAGGUACUCACAGGAAAUAUUAAGGACUAUAAUCCAAAGGGUCCCAGCCAAAGUGUCUGGGAGCCCCUUGUACCAUGUGUAACAUUGAGGAAAUAGACCACCUUGCUUGUGAAUAGUCACUGUGCCAAAGCAAGACCCUGUCUUGGAUUUGUGGCUACUACAGGGGCAAGAGGCAUGGAUACACUUCCUCCUUAACAAAUGGGACUCCUCCCUCUGUGAUCCAGAUCAUGAAAGAAAGCAGGGCUGGAGGUCAGAGCCAGAACAGGCAGCAUUUUUGAACUUGUUAUUCCUGGACUUUGAUGCUUUGGCCAUUGAACUCUCGGGAUUUGAGCAUGUAGCUGAAUAGCUGAGUUCUAUCAAAAACUUGUAAAGUAGAAAUAAUUAUUAAAAUUACAAUAGCACAUGAUCUUCCAAACUAGAGCCUUAAAUAGUGACUCAGUGAUACCCUCAACUUCCAUGGCCGUCUAUGGAAACAUGGUUGCCUUAAAGAAAUACCAUCCUGCAUUUCUUUGCCUGACAACUUUAAUUGCUGUGUUUCCUUAGUAAUGUUGAAUGCAGCACAGGGUUGCUAAUAUUGUUGAUCUAAAGGUUAAGAAACCUGGAUCCAGCUUUGGUUUUGCCAUUAGCCAAUAAUAUGAUGCUAGACAAGUUAUUUAACUUCUCCUGAAGAUCUUGUUAAAAAAUAUAGGUGCCUGGGGCUCCAGCACACAUGCUUGAAUGAAAAAUGUCAUUGGAGUCACUGGUGAUCUGCACACUCAGCAAACACCUGGGUGACCUGCAGCAUCAAGGGAACACUCGAUUCAGUAACUACAUCCUGCUGGAGGAGGAAGUCACCUUCCCUAAGGACAAGCACCAGGAAAAACUUCGCUUUUUAAAAUCAAAGCACCCAGGCAUCAAGUUCCUGUGGACGUCUCUCCCAUUGGUUAACACCUGGGUUGUACAAAUAGCAUUUCCUUGCAACAAUCACUUUAAUAAACGACAGGUGUUUUCUGCUGGAAAUCAACACUGGCAAUUAGUUUGCUUUUUCCCUGGAUGAAUCUGGAGGGAAAAAAGUUUUCAGUCCCCCACCAAGCCAGGUUUACCAACCACCAAUCCUUUCUACAAGUCAUGGAGAUUUCAACUGUACCUUAAUAUUAUUUCCCAUCUUCCAAAGAGUUUUUUGAGAAUGAAAAGCUGAAACUGCAGGUGGGUAUGAGGUGGUACAUCAACCUGCAAUUUCAGUGCUUCUUCCUAUUCACUGAGAUUAAGCUAGAAGUAUGAUUUCCCCAGGCAUUUCUCGUGACCACGUCGUGUAAUUGUCACUCAGGCAUCUUGUGCUGACUGUCUGAACUCAAAGAAUGGAUUUCAUUUCUGUGCUGGCAUUGACAAAGGAAAUUGUACCAGAUUCCAGUACCCAUUCUCGAUGAGGACCAGAUACUAGGCAAAAACCUGAGCUGGAGCGAAUCUUCCUCUGGGGUUUAGAUGGAAAAGAGAAAUAUCCCUAAAGUGGAGAAUGGGGAAAACAUGCAAAUCAGAACUUCAAGAAGGGAUCUGGGUUCUAUUUCCCUGUCCUCAGAAGAAACAUCUUUUACCAUGCAGAUUUGAUUCCUUUUCUUAGAAAAUGAAGAGAGCAGUGCAUCUUCCGUUUUUGAAAACAAUUUAAAAUGAAGGCAAGAACAUGUGAACGUGGUUAUUUUCUGUUUUUAUGCUCUCUGAUUUCUCCUGAUGGCUUAUGUCAUACUGUCUGAUGACAGACCAAUAUCCUCACCUCCUUUCCCACCUCUGAGAAAACAAAGAAAGUGUUUGCCUAUGUGCAGGUGGAGACCGUGGGUAUGUGUCUGGAGGACUUGGCUUCCAGCGGGCUUCUCAAAGGCCAUCUUCUGGAGCAAACAGUGUCUGUAGUAGGAAGAGGGUACCAAUUUGGAAUGCACACCCUAGGUGGCAGCAGUGAUGCCUCCAGGACUUGGUUCCCUGCCACCCAUGUAGCAGACCUGGACUGAGUUCCCAAUUUCUGGCUUUGCCCCUCCAACACCCUCUGUUUUAAGGGCAUUUGGGGAGUGAGCCAGGGGAUGAAAACUCUCUUUAUCUCUCUGCUUUUUGAAUUUAAAACAAAAGAAAACAAAACCGACUUCUUCAAGUCCCUCUCCAUCCCUUCAUCCUUUAGUUUUGGUGCCAACUACUCUGACUGUCUUCAAAUGCUUGGAGGGAUGAGCAGGGUAGGAGACAGAGGAUCGCCUGCCCAUCCCCAUCAGAGUAUCCUCCCAGCCUGCACCCCUGGACACAGCGGCCUCCACUCCCUACCCCCUAAGAAGACUUAACGUGUUUACUGAGUCAGUACAAAAGUGCUUGAACUUGUGGAUGUUGCUCUACUGCUUUGUGUCUGCAGAAGACAGACAGGGAAAACACACUGUAACAGUACAUGGAAGCCAGCUGGACAUUGUUGUCUGCAGCGAAUGAUCAAGGGACUCUGAACCGAGACCUGCUGGCAAAGCCGCUGAGCUCUGUGGGCUGCUGCUGAGACGAGGCGGAGAGAGAAGUGCAGUGGUCCAGAACCCAAGAUAGGAGGCUCCCCGGGGUCCUGGGACUUUCUGCUCCACCAGUGCGGAAAUCCUUGGGCAGUAGGAUUAACGGUGACGUAGGCAGCGGUCAGAAGAGAAGGAACUCUCAGUUCCACUCAGAGUCCGGCUGACCUCAUCCUCACUGUGAUCUCCAGAGCUUGUUGUGCUUUCAAAAAGAUUCCUUGAACGGGUGAUUGGUUCCGCUGUUGUCACUGUGUGUGAGUGCAGAAAUGUGUAGGCUCAUCCUGAGGAGUGGAUUUGUGCUCCGGGUACAGAGAUAGCAGUGCCCGGUGCUGAAUGGAGGGGGCGUCCGCAGAAACAUGAAUUCAGAUUUUGUAGUUGCUUGUUCUUCAGAUGUCUAAUCUUUGCGUGCCGUAACCGGGACCUUUACUGACCUCCCGUGUUCUUGUUGAAGGUGGGCAAGGAACUUCUCUGCCAUUGCCAUGGUGUGAGGCACUCGUGAGUUGGAGGAUCAGAUUGAACCUGGCAGAGAAGAAAUGAGACCUGAAGGCCUGAAAGAUGGCUGAAUAAAAGUCCCAGCCUUACCUGAAUAGAUGAUGUUGCAUUUUAAGGUUGCUGUCCAGAUGUCAUAGAGAACGGUGGUAGCUCAAAGCACUACUGUUGCCAUCUGAUAGGAGACAGGAACCUGGAUGGGACAUGAAUGUAUUCAUUGCCCACAUGAUUCUGUACAUUCACAGCACGUCUCCACCUGGAGCAUCCCAACUCAAAACUGCUGCAGACCCUCGUCGGAACACGCCAAACCCAUCACCCAGGAUCACCUGUUGGUGACCAUACUCAGUGCAACAAAAACGGAUCUUCCUGCAUUCCAGACUGACUCAGGAAGACCCCAGGGGCCACCUGAAUAUGAAGUAUUAUUCCUCACCAUGGAAGUGACAGAAGAGCAUUUGCUGGGCACCUUACUUGUUAUGAAACAGGUAAUAGACUUAACUAGAACAUACCUUAUAAUAUCUGAUAUGUGGUUCAUUAUACUUUAAAGCAAUAGAAAAAAUAAUACCCUGAAGAUGUUGGCAAUAAGGCAUAAAAUUGGUGUGGUAGUCAAAGAAGAACACAUCAUCCUAAAGGAAGACAGAAAUAGCUUUUCAAAAAUUGCCUUUGGAGAAAAGAUGAUGAAUUACAACUUGUACUUGCUGAAAUUUAGCUCUCAUAGUCCAUCGUGUACCUGGUACGUUUUCCAAGUUUAAGAUGAAGUCUCUUGACAGAAAGAUUUUUAAAAAGGCAAUUCUGUCUAAAUUGCAGCACGUCUGCCCACCCCCAUGUACAACGCCAGCUGAAAUUCUGACAAGCUGGUCAAUACAUGCCUAAAGUCAGAAUCCAGAUUUGGUGCUGUUAUAUAGCUGAGUUGUAUUGGGGAGGAAGCAAGGCCACAGCACUUAUUAUCCUCUGUUAGUGAAACCAGAUUUACAGCUCAAACAGCAGUCAUGGUAACUAAAGCACAGACUAGGAACUUUGAUAGAUGAAAAUCAUUUCCAUUUAAAUGAAACCUAAGAGGUUGCCAGGUGUAAGUGUUAAAAUAGCCUUACAGCCGGCGCCGCGGCUCACUAGGUUGAUCCUUCGCCUUGCGGCGCCAGCACACCGGGUUCUGGUCCUGGUCGGGCGCCGGAUUCUGUCCCGGUUGCCCCUCUUCCAGGCCAGCUCUCUGCUGUGGCCAGGGAGUGCAGAGGAGGAUGGCCCAAGUGCUUGGGCCCUGCACCCCAUGGGAGACCAGGAUAAAUACCUGGCUCCUGCCAUCGGAUCAGCGCGGUACGCCAGCUGCGGCGGCCAUUGGAGGGUGAACCAACGGCAAAGGGAGACCUUUCUCUCUGUCUCUCUCUCUCACUGUCCACUCUGCCUGUCAAAAAAAUAAAUGAAUAAAUAAAAUAGCCUUACAACGAUCACUUUGUUAAAUGUUUUCAUCUGAAAAGAGGCAAGCCAGCCUAGAAACCACCUGGAAAAGUCUAAUUCUCCCAGGUCUCCUUUUCUCAUGAUGGUUUGAGGACUUGGGAUGUAGCGAGAACAGAACCCAACCCUCUAAGGUACAAAGAGGUACAAGAUGUUGAUAUUGCUAAACAGGCGGAAAGCAUGGAACAUAUGAGGCCAUUUUUAAAUUGCUCAAGCUCUUGGGUUAUUUGAGCUUGUCUAGCAAGCUUGUCAAUCCCUUAGACAAUGCUUGUCAGGAAGCACCGUGGGAGAUUAGCUGAGAGCAUGGCUUUGAGAACCAGGCAGAACAGCUGAGUCCUUCCUGUGUUUCUAUGAGUAAAGCAAUUAAUGCCCUGCAUUUCAUCAUACCUCAAAUCAGGGCUUAUAAUAGUAAUAAUAGUAUCGACUACAUAUAGUUCAUUUUCAAAAAGAUUUAUUUUGUUUACUUGAAAGAGUUACAGAGAGAGAAGGGAGAGGAGAGAGAGAGCACUUCCAUCUGCUGGUUCACUCCCCAAUGGCUGCAAUGGCUGGGGCUGGGCCAGGCUAAUGCCAGGAGCCAGGAGCUUCAGACAAGUCUCCCAUGUGGAUACAGGUGCCCAAGCAUUUAGGCCAUCUUCCUUUGCUUUCUCAGGCGCAUUAGCAGGGAGCUGGAUCAGAAGUGGAACAGCCAGGACUCAAACCAGUGUCAUUAAGGGAUGCCAGUAUCAUAGGCAACAGUUUAACCCGGUUACACCAGCCGGCAUAUAGUUCUUAUAAUGCUUAAUUAAGAUAACCUAAGCAAAAUGAAUGGCAACUCAAGAGGCUUCCAUAGCCUUGGCAGCUCAUGACAAGAGCCUCAGGUGAUUACUGACGUCAUAAAUAAGAGUGUCAAUUGUUAAAUCAACAGCGGGAGUCACUGUACACCUACUCUCCUUGUAGGAUCUCUGUCCUUAAUGUACUAUGCAAAUUAACAGUAAAACUACUACUCAAACAGUACUUUAUACUUUGUGUAUCAGUGUGGGUACAAACUGUUGAAAUCUUUAUUUAGUAUAUACUAUCUUCUGUAUAUAAAGAUAAUUGAAAAUGAAUCUUGAUGAAGAAUGGUAUGGGAGAGGGAGUGGGAGAUGGGAUGGUUGCAGGUGGGAGGGAGGUUAUGGGGGGAAAAGCCGCUAUAAUCCAAAAGUUGUACUUUGGAAAUUUAUAUGUAUUAAAUAAAAGUUGAAAAAAAAACCAAAAUGAAUGGCAAAUAAUAUGUUCAAUGAUUAUAUGCAACUACCAGAAACUUUUUCUGUUGUGUUUUAUCUUGCCUU